UGGUGGAGGAAAAAGUGCUUAACCUAAAGUAGCUGGGGAACAGAGAGAGAAGCAGUAGGGGCCAAUGACACACCCUUCCAAGUCUCACACCUGCUGACCCACUGCCAAUCAGAGCCCACCUGCUGACUGCGCAUUGAGCUCCUGAACUCAAUUCUGGAACCCACUGAUGAGUGUGGCGCUCCGUGUCCCAGGCAUCUUGCAAGCAUCUAGAACUGGGGAGAAAUUUUAGAUUCAAACUCUAACAGGAGCUGUGAGCUGCGGGCAUCCAGUUGUCUGUGAAGCUAAUCGUGAUGCUCAAGCUGAGAAACAAAGCAUGCUAUGUAGACAUGUUCUUGCUUUCGGGUUCCUUACAAUACAGAAGUCUGAAAGGUGGACUGGUCAUUGCAGUAGUUUAUGUCAAUGCUAAGACUAAACUAGUGCGACAUUGGGCAGUGACCAGUUCAGCCACUGGGGUCCUGAAGGGGAUGAUGGGAGAUUAAGCAAAGGCUGCAGACACACACCAAAAAGGUCGUGCACUACCCUUUUGAUCCCGAAUCUCUAUCGCUGUGUCCAAACAGUUCAGUGGCAGUUGCCUAUACUGCAGCCAUUUAAUGGAAGAACAGUGACACUACAUGCUUGGAGAAGAGGGGACAGCUGAAACUAGAGAUUGAUUUCACAUGCAGGGCUAAAGCAAGGCCAGUACUGAGAACUUGGACUGCACAAAGCAAACAUGUGAACAAGCUGUUCCAGCUCCACAAGUUAACAGGGAGGAACACCAAGGCUGGACACCUGCUGGACUGGCCUUGCUCUAGUCCUGAAUGUGUGGUUGAUCUCCAGCUCAGCUCUUCCUCACACAUUGUGUGGUUUCACUAUGCAGUUCAGACUACCUUUAACUCAUUUUGUAACCCUGGCUGGCCUCAAGCUUGCAGCAAUCCUCCUGGCUCAGCCUCCUCAGUGCUGGGAUUACACACAUGCACCACCAUGUCUGAAAUGUGAGUACAAUUAGUGUGUUUGAAAGCCAACCCUGAAACUGCAGCUGGAGGUGAUGAGGUAAAGAAGGCAAGGAAUUCCUUAGCAUGUAACGAUGAGGUACCACUCCAGUGGGUAAAUGACACUCAGUCCUGGUGUGGAGUGUGGCAAGAAAGUGUGGGACACUCCUUGGAGUCAUCUCUCUCAAGGGAAGAUGAACCGGAAGUCAGGAUGUCUGACCUUCAAUUCUUACUUACCAACAGCUACGGCUGCUGGCGAUGGAAGACAGUUGAUUCCCAAUACUGUGAUCUGUCCUUUGCUGUGAUAAUGUGCGUGAUAAGUCAGUGGUAGAUUGAACCUUGAGUCCUACAACUUGCACAGACUGAGGAGUGAAGAUCCACUCUGGAUAUGGGUGGCACCAACAAUAAGCUUGCAAAUUGAAUGGAAUGAAAAAGGGAAAGAAGGUUUGACCUCUUCCCUUAGAGAAGCUCCAGUCUUGGCCGUUUCUUUGGAUACUGUCCUCCAGUGUUGGAGGGUUCCAGUGUAGACUCUGGUUUUCAAAUGCAGGUUCACACCGGUGACUGUAGUGAUUUUCUAGGUCUUCAACCUUCGGCUGCUUCUGGCUCCUCGGGCUCCCAGUGCAUAGAUGACAUUGGGAUUCCUCCCCCCUGAUCCUGUGAGCCUCCCUGGUGGAUUCCUUGUACAAUUAUGCAUAUAUUUUACAUUGAUUCUGCUUAUCUAGUGAACUGUAAAACAACCAUUUAAUAUUUAUUAUUAUAAUAUCAAAUACAUAUUUUUACUAUGAAUUUCAAAUGUGAUGCAUAUUUUAUACUUGUAAGACAUCUUAAUUCUGAAUAGCCACAUAGCCUUUAAUAAGUCAUCUGGAUAAUGGAUACUAUAGUGAAGUACGGUUUAUUAGGGACAUAACAUCUAUUCCCAUAUUGAA